rnacentral:rRNA from 1 species
CGGAUUUAUUGGGCGUAAAGCGAGCGCAGGCGGUUUCUUAAGUCUGAUGUGAAAGCCCCCGGCUCAACCGGGGAGGGUCAUUGGAAACUGGGAGACUUGAGUGCAGAAGAGGAGAGUGGAAUUCCAUGUGUAGCGGUGAAAUGCGUAGAUAUAUGGAGGAACACCAGUGGCGAAGGCGGCUCUCUGGUCUGUAACUGACGCUGAGGCUCGAAAGCGUGGGGAGCAAACAGGAUUAGAUACCCCAGUAGUA